rnacentral:rRNA from 1 species
ACAGCAACGCCGCGUGAGCGAAGAAGGUCUUCGGAUCGUAAAGCUCUGUCCUUGGGGAAGAAACAAAUGACGGUACCCAAGGAGGAAGCCCCGGCUAACUACGUGCCAGCAGCCGCGGUAAUAAAAAACCC